AGAAAAUAAUCUGCAGUUUAACUGAAAAUGAAAGUAAUCAUUAGUUGCAGCUUUAUUCUCAGUGGUCUCUUAAACUAGAGGACACACACUCUUUCACAGCAGCGGUGGAGCUGGAGAAGACAUAAAGGCACUCUGUUCACUGGGUCAAACAGUCGGCCUGUACUCAUUUGAUUGCACACAGCAGAGCUUCACCUGUUCGCAUUCCUCACGAGAGGAAGCAAAGAGAAGCGAUGGGCUGAGUUUUAGCAAGCAGACCCACAAAACACCCAGAUUAAAAAACCCCUAAAGUCUACCUCAACUGGUUUUCAAAGUUUCUCUCGAGCAGCAGAUGUCCAGAAGAAUUAAAUUUUGGAUGUUAUAGACCCAACAAUCAGCUUCUUCAAAAAUACAAGUCAUGCAUGCAUGUUUCCUUUGCAAACUCAAUUUGUUUUUUAAAAAAAAAAAAAAAGUAGGCCUGAAUCACACAUUGACAAUUUUACAAAUUGACAAUUUUGCUAGCUCAGUGACACAGCUGAUUUGGAAGGUUUGGAUAAGAGAGGUGGGUAACACAGACCUAUAGUAGGCCUAUAUCAAGAAUAGGACAGAAAAGGGUUUUUAAAAAGACAAGGGUUUGUUAUACAGCACAGUUAGGUUAGUAUCUGUGUUGGCUAUUUUGGAGAGCAAGAGUGUUGCAGCCAUCAAGCAUACAGGAUGAAUACAGUGAAGGGAGCUUUCCGAAACAUAAAGAAUACCCUUGAGGUGGCAAAACAGAUCAUGUGUCCUACAGCUGAACCUUUGUUAUGAGUUCAAUAACACCCUUUUUGCGAUGAAACGGUUUUCAGCCAAAACAGUAGCGCCAACACCUAUGCACAAUGUAUGGUGUGAAAGGUAGGUGCAGCCGAUGAGCUUGCGAUCAUAGGCUCUUUUUUUCUGUUACACUGAGACAGACCUGCACACAUCGUAAGCAGCCAGCGACGGAUGCUUUGAUGGCAUCCGUAAUGGGCUCUAAAGACCUCCACAGGGAAAUGGGUCAGAGAGAGAGAGAGAGAGAGAGAGAAACAGUGGGACAUGGGUCAGAGAAAGGGGGGGAGAAGGAAAGGCAGCAAGGAGGAGCAGACUGGAGAGAGAGAGAGAGAGAGCCUGUGAAAUAUUCAUAGUGGCCUCCUGUACGCUCUGCUGCCAGAUUAAUAUCCAAGCACUUGUCAGGGAUUGCAGUAUAUUGAGCACCUAAAUAUGAGAACGUGUGCACAAACUAAUCACAUGUAUAGAUAUGUAGAACAAAUUUAUGGCUGUGCUAUUGAAAUUCAAAACCAGUGCCAAAAAAAAAAAAAAAGACACACAAUUCUUAUGAAUAAGUGUUCACCCUAUGAAAGCUCACAUACUGAUCGCCUUCCUCUGUGUUUUACUGUCACGUCCUCCAUAAUCAGAAAAAACAGAAAUGAUACUGACUGGUAUAACCCAUUAAUAACAGCGAUAUGGUAUUUGUAAGACUUCUCAGUAACAGUUGUAAUAAAAAAAAUGAAACAGUUUGUAUGGUGUCCUAUAUGAUAUUUUGUUAACCCUUUUUCAAAUUAAAAUGCAUCAUUCUUUCUUUGCCUUGAAAACAGGAUACUUUCUUCACAAGAAACUCAACUAUUGAUUAGAGAAAAGAGCCAGAUAACUUUGCGCCAACAUGUAAUGACUGUGCAAAAACUUGAGAUCAGUCAUACAUUCCAUGUAAGUGGUGGUGUAACAACCUUCAUGGCUGGUGUCACUAUACCAGUUCCAAGAAAACAAGCUGUGACCUGAAUUGCUCACUUCAUUUUAAGGGUGGGGUCCUGGAUGAACUGGUGGUGUCUGAUAUGAGGGGCUGCGUCGCUAUCCCCCCUUUUGUCUGUUGAGACAAAUGCUCAGACUCUCACCUGGAAAUAGCAAAAUUUCCAUGUACAAUGUAACUGUGACUUACACAUUACUGGAAAAGAGUUUUUAUAGCAGACAUUUCCCCCCCACAAACGACAAAGACACAAAAGCAGAACAAUCCUUGAGAUCUCUAAUGAAACAGGAAAUGCUCUUGAUCCAAGGUAAGCCCCUCUACAGUUCAAGUUUCCCAUCAAGAAUGGCUUUGGAAACAGUGACAGUUUUGAUGGGAAACUGGUGACAUAACUCAGGAAAAGCAAACAGGAUACUCAUCACUAGCUGUUAGCAAAGCCAAUAGGAAAUCACAGGCACUUCCCUUUCUCGUGACUUCUGUGUAUAAAGCUCAAUGACCGAACCGAGAAUCAGAAGCCCCUUUCACACAUGCACUGCAACCCUGAAAUUUCCUGGAUAUUAUCAGGAGGAGCUGUAUGUGUGAACGCAAAUGUCUGAAUCAGUCGGACCGGACAUUAAACGGACUUUACCCUGCCAGCUCCCUAGUACAAAGUCUGUGUAAUGUCCAACUGAGCCUGUGUGUGAAUACAGCAGGUCUGUACCCUAUUUUCUGGAGAAUUCACAACAAGCAAGUAGGCGUGUUGAUGACACUUCUAUUAUGCAGCUGGCACUGGAUAAACACAGCAGGCCAGCUAAGCUGCAUUGUUUUGACUGGGCCUGAACACUCCGCUGUGAAACUAGUGCUAAUGGGAAAGAGGACUUCCUGUGAUUUUUCAUAAAAUAAAAGCAAUUUAAUUUCUGGUGAAAAGCUUAAAAACGCCAAAUUACGACCGCAGCAUACUUUCUGCAUCAUGUCCUGCCUCCUACACGCUCUACCCAGGCGCCACCGCUUGCCUAAACCAAAUGGAGUAUUUCCAAGAGCUGAGAACGCGUCUGACAGGACAAUCUCCUGUUGUGCGCUACAUGUGUGAAAGGGCAACUCCGGACAAUGUCCUGACCUGAUGUGAAAACAGCUAUAGUUACCCUGAGGCCUAACCAAAAUCUGCUGUUCACUAUGAUCACCAUUUGAGAUGAAUCUCACAAUAUAGGCUGAGUAUUACACAGUUUUUCCCAUGCCUAAACAUGGCAUUUUAACUAAACCUCCUGCAACUUUAGUACAUGCACAGUCUUGGAAAAUGGCCUGAAUAAGAAAAAUGAGCAGCACUGAUAAACCGAAGCACACAUAUUAUGUAAUCUGUGUGAGGGAUAAAUUCCUUGUCAUCCUUUCAGGGGUGUGUUUUUUUUUUUAAAAGAUGCAUCACCAUUUUAGAAGGACAAUGUCCAUACGCCAUAAACAUAACAAGAGCUCAAGCAGACAAACCUGUUGAGAGAGAGAGAGGAAGUCAGAGCCUCAUGACAGAUGUGCUAUCACACUUCCUUUGGAGGAAAAGUGGGACGAAGUGAGAGAAAUCUAAUUAUGAACCGUAACCUGGGGCAACAGAGACACCCUGAGUGGGCGAGGAAAGUGCUGUGACUGACAAGUGAAUGAUGGUCACUGCCCUCAUCAUGACUGACAAAGCAGACGUCAUAAGGCACAGUGACAG